GGCCAGAAUUUGCCGUGGGUGAGCUCAUCCAUCUGGGAGCAAAGGGCCAGCUCCUCAGCUUGACGCACGCGGGUGACCUUCUUCAGAGGUUGUCUGGGUGUGACCAAGAGCAACACUUGGCCCUAGAAAUCAAGAAAAUAACUUUCUCCUCUGGACUGACACUGAGGUACAACAACUGCAUGGGACAAGUCCUAGGUGUGGUUCCAGUCCAAUUCUUUGACAGAUUGGGUUCCUAGAGAAGGAAACAAGAGCUAGACUCCUCUCCCCUCAACAAGAAAAGUUAAAUCUUGUACUACAGCCAGAUCAAAAUAACCAGGAAGGAAUGAGUAGAUGAGGUCUCAGUCUCUCCCUAUUGAUGCUAUAACACACUGCAAUGCUGGAUGUUACCUGCACUCUGAGAUGCCCUGCAAAAUUGCCCACAGCAGCUGAGGGGGACCUAGCAAACAAAAGUCCCAUCUCCUCUUUGCAUUGCUGUGGUAUUUGAUCUUGCCUUCAACA